UACGAAGGGGGCUAGCGUUGCUCGGAAUCACUGGGCGUAAAGCGCACGUAGGCGGGUCUUUAAGUCAGGGGUGAAAUCCUGGAGCUCAACUCCAGAACUGCCUUUGAUACUGAGGAUCUCGAGUCCGGGAGAGGUGAGUGGAACUCCGAGUGUAGAGGUGAAAUUCGUAGAUAUUCGGAAGAACACCAGUGGCGAAGGCGGCUCACUGGCCCGGUACUGACGCUGAGGCACGAAAGCGUGGGGAGCAAACAGG
rnacentral:rRNA from 1 species